CGGAGUUCUAGCCAGACUUCUAGCUUCGAAUCUCCCUGUGGUGUCUCUUGUCACAUUCUUGCUGCUAGCCCCAAUUCCAACAUUUUUAUGUGGUAUUCCCUUAGAAUUUGUGCCACUUGGCCUUGUACGUUGAAAUUUUUCUUUCUCGUUCAUCUCAGGGCAAUCCUUGAUAAAAUGGUCUUAAAAACCACAUCAAAAACAGGAUCCAUCGUUCAUUCUACACUUGUCGAAAUGACUUCUACC
rnacentral:lncRNA from 1 species